rnacentral:rRNA from 1 species
UACGUAGGGUGCGAGCGUUAAUCGGAAUUACUGGGCGUAAAGCGUGCGCAGGCGGUUCGUUGUGUCGGCGGUGAAAGCCCCGGGCUCAACCUGGGAAUGGCCGUUGAAACUGGCGAACUUGAGUGUGGCAGAGGGGGGUGGAAUUCCACGUGUAGCAGUGAAAUGCGUAGAUAUGUGGAGGAACACCGAUGGCGAAGGCAGCCCCCUGGGUUAACACUGACGCUCAUGCACGAAAGCGUGGGGAGCAAACAGG